CUCCUGGGUGGGCAAGAAAAGGUGCAGGUACCUGUCCCCAGAGUCCAGGACCCAGGGAUGUCGGCUCAGCUGCUUCCCCAGAGGACAAGUGCUCACGGAGCUCCAGUGAGAUGCCAUUUGGGAAGACCAUGAACAGCAAGUCCCCAACCCCUGUGUGCCUGGAAGGGGCACCUGGGGCCUCCCCAUGGCUGCCCCAGGACACUGGCCUCUCUCAGAGGCCGGCUGUUUCCAGGGCACUGAGAGGGACUCUGCUCAGGCUCAUGCCCGAGUGCCCCAGCCUUCCCUCCUCACUCUGCAGAACCCUCCGGAGCCCCCUUUCCUCUCCCACUGCGCCCCUGUCCCUCCCAAGUGUCUGACCUGCUGACUGACGGCUCCCUGCUCCUGGGACCCAGCCCAGCAUGAGGUCCCCAGGGAGCUCAUCUUUGCAGCCUCCACUCCCGACCCUGAGGGUCCUGUGCUUUCUCCAUGAGGUCAAUUGUGGUACCCACCCGUUCCCCCACACACAGGUUACUGGCCUCAGGAACAGUGGGGGCCCAGCUCUACCCAGGUGACCCCUGCCCUCUGGACACACUCCAAAUUCCACAGGAGCACUGAGGACUCAGGGCCAGCAGCCCGGCGCUGUAUCCACCCCACUGUCAGAGCCAGAGCCACGGACCGGUGACUCACAGAUCCCUGUGACCACCCAGGAUGAAGAACAAGGCAGGAGCUUUCCCCACCCCCAACGCCUGCCUGCGCCCGCUGCCUGCCCAUGCCCAGAGCUGAGCCCGCUCAACCCAAAAGUCUACAGCCCUGAGCGGACACCUCCCAUGGCCCCCGGGAUCCUGACGGCCCGUUUGCAUGUUGGUCUCUGUACUAAAACAUGAGCAUCUUCCAGCCAGCAGGGAGGCGCCACUCCCCACACAGAGCCCUCCCUUCCAAGGCCUCAGCAAUGAACAACCAACAUCAAGAGGCCUGAGCUGUGGUAAUCAAGUGUCUACACUAAAGGGACAGUGUCCUUAGGGUACGUGGGGGGUGGCAAGGGCAGACCCUGGGGGUCUGCAGCCCCCCACCCCUGCCCAACCCCACCCUAAACACACACCAGCUCAAGACGGCCGUCGUUUGCCCGGGGGCGACACUUCUCUGUUUUUGAGCUCCUAGAACCCACGCUUCCUUCUCACGGCUGUGGCUCUUCCGGGGCUGGGCCGGGAGGGCGCCAGCAAAGGCACUGAGAAGUCGCCCUGCGGGGACUGAGUGCGCUCCCAGUCCCGUCUCACCAUCUCUGCUUUCUGGGUGAUUGCUUCGACUCUAUCUUCUAACUCUGCUAGUGUAAUUUUAAUUUCCAAGAAUUCUUUUUGUUCUCUUAUUUAUAGAAUCUUAUUAUUUUAUGGAUACUACAUCUUAUCGUUAUAAGGAUAUAAAUUUCUUUUCAAAAAGUCUCUCCUGUCUGAAUAGUCUGUUUCAGAGGGUGGCAGGCUCUGACCUGAGGCUUGUUUCUGUAUGGCAGUCAAGCUGAGACUAAUUGUGCAAUUAGAUUGGGCCCAUGGGAUAACCCAGGCCAAUCUCCCCAUCUUAGGGUCCUUAACCCUAAUCACCUCUGCAGAGCCGCCUAUACCACAUGGGGUCACAUAGUUGUCAAUCAGGGAUGAGACACAGACAUCUUUGGGGCCAUUAUCCUGCCUUCAGGUGGGAGCAGUUGUGGAACUAAAGCAACUCUGCAAGUUCUUGGAGGCCCAGAAGCCACGUCCACGGCCCCCGGCUUAGUCUGUUGUCCCAAGAGUGACAACACAUGGCCCCCACCCCACUCCCACUGCUCUC